AAAUGAAUAGACGGGGGCUCACACAAGCGGUGGAGCAUGUGGCUUAAUUCGAAGCAACGCGAAGAACCUUAUCCAGGGCUUGACAUACACGGAUUAGUUCGGUGAAAGUCGAAUGACACUCUUUGAGUGGAACGUGAACAGGUGCUGCAUGGCUGUCGUCAGCUCGUGCUGUGAAGUGUCGCGUUAAGUCGCUUAACGAGCGAAACCCCUGUCACUAGUUGCCAGCACGUUAUGGUGGGGACUCUAGUGAGACUGCCGGCGUCAAGCCGGAGGAAGGUGGGGACGACGUCAAGUCAUCAUGGCCUUUAUGCCCUGGGCUGCACACGUGCUACAAUGGCGUAUACAGAGCGACGCAAUACCGUAAGGUGGAGCAAAUCGCACAAAGUACGCCCCAGUUCAGAUUGUGGUCUGCAACUCGACCACAUGAAGGUGGAAUCGCUAGUAAUCGCGUAUCAGCAACGACGCGGUGAAUACGUUCCUGAGCCUUGUACACACCGCCCGU
rnacentral:rRNA from 1 species